rnacentral:rRNA from 1 species
UACGGAGGGGGCCAGCGUUGUUCGGAAUUAUUGGGCGUAAAGGGCGCGCAGGCGGCCUGGUAAGUCGGGUGUGAAAUCCCGCGGCUCAACCGCGGAAAUGCGUUCGAAACUACCAGGCUUGAGUCCCGGAGAGGGUGGCGGAAUUCCCAGUGUAGCGGUGAAAUGCGUAGAUAUUGGGAGGAACACCAGUGGCGAAGGCGGUCACCUGGACGGGUACUGACGCUGAGGCGCGAAAGCGUGGGUAGCAAACAGG